ensembl:lncRNA
AGCUAGUUAGCAGGAUUCCCUGGGAUUCUGCAUUUGAAAGUAUUGGGGUCUAUCAGUGCUGGUCACUGUUUAUGUACCACCUUCUAAGAGCACAGGAAUAGGUAAUUCCAAAUUUUCAGAAAUCAUGCACAUGGGGCAGAAGGCCAGCUUGGCUGAGCAGGGUUCUUCUAGAACUUAAGUGUGAAAAGAAACUGGAAGCAAGGUCAGUCAGCAUGUGAGGAUUGCAGAGAUGCUGUUUGCCUUUGUAGUGAAGUAGGUAAGGCAGAGACAUUUAAUGCCUUCUUCAUGUCUGCCUUUAACACCACUGAUGAGCUUUGGGAUCCUCAGAGUGCUAAGUUGGAGACCUGUGACUAUGGUAACAGUAUAUUCCCAGCCAACACUAAACCUGUACAGAAUUUGCUGGUCCAGCCAGGUGCACUUAAGUGUAUGGGGCCCAAUGGGAUUCAUCUCAAUGUGCUAAAAAAGCUGGCUGAUAUCGUCACAAGACCUCUCUGAAUUAUUUUUCAGUGGUCUUGAGAAUCUGGAGAUGUGCCAGUUGACCGGAGGCUUGCAAAUGUUAUCCCAGUUUUCAGGAAGGGCAAGAAAAAAGACCCUGAGAAUAAUAGGCCUGUCACUCUCAUCUCAAUGCCCUGUAAAAUUAGAGAGAUUAUUCUGUGAGUUACUGAAAGAUGCUAGAAAAGCAAUGCAAUCACUGGUCGUAUCUAUCCAUCACGGGUUCACAAGAGGGAAGUCCUGUUUAAAAAACUUAAUUUCUUUUUUGAUAAGGUUGCCCACCCAGUUGAGAAGUUAGGUGAUGUAAUCUUUGGAUUUCAGCAAAGCUUUCAAUAUUGUCUCUCACAGUGGGCACAACCCCAAACUGCUGGAGUUCCAAAAACAUUUGGACAAAGUUCUGACACGCUGGGUUUGAGUUUUAGGCGGUCCUGUGUGGAAGCAGGAGUUGCUUGUGGUUCCCUUCCAACUCAGGAUAUUCUAAGAGUCUAUGUUUAAUUUCACUGAGAAGGAAAUGAUUAUGUUUUUAGGGACAGGUCUUCAAAUGAAUUGCCACACCCAUAAUCAUUUUCAAGAUAUUUUUGAAAUAUCUUCUUUUUUGGUGCAUUUUUUGAAGAGGCACUGAUGUGUUCCCUUAUUCUUUACUUUGCAUGAAAAUUCAUAAAGCUGUAUUGUUCAAAAGAUGGUGUUAUAACAACAGAAUUCUCAUGAACAUCAAAAUACUGCAAGUUAUUGCAGUUAUUUGAUAUUUGUUGACCAUUUGUUUUGUGAAGCACUGAAUUUCUGUUUGUUUGGACUUUUUUCCUUUUUAGUGGCACUAGCAAAGUCUAGUGAAGAAUUCCUGUGACUCCACUUUUGACUGUUUUUUUGUUUGUUUUUGCAAAAGAAGAGAAUUAAACCAUUUGAAUUUGGAUCCUGAAAUAUGUAAUAAUAUUUUAACAGCAUUGUUUGAUUUUCUGCAUAAAUAAUAUUUUUAAUUUUUAUUCAUAAAAUUCGAUGUAUUCUUAUCCUGAACAGAAUGUGAAUUCAAAGUGGAACUUGCUGCAGCUAACAUUCAUGACCGCGUGCCUGGCACUGUAGAGACAGAGUAGACGUGUGACAUUAUAAAUGGAACAAGGGAACUUGAAGGCAUUGCCAGCUGAAGAGAAACUGGUGGAAAGAGGAAAAAGAAGAACAAAGACUCUGGUCUCCUGUUACAAACCCGGGAAGCUCAUGGAAGUGAAUGGCCAGGAAGCAGCUCCACGUUCCUCUGUAGGGAAAAAUUAGCCGUUCCAACUGACCUCUGCCCUGCCUCUUCCCUAAUCAUGGACAAAGUGGACAUGCUGCCUCCCUUCACCUGUGUUUGAGCUUGUGGUAGCAGGGCAGGUGGAUAACCAUGAAACCAGUUUGGGGAGAAAGUUGACUCCAGGCUUUCAGUGUCAUGUAGCAGUAAUAGUUUGCUUGCCUCAUAAGAAACUCAAUCGAUUUUGUGGAAAUAUGUAUGUCACCAUUCAAGUAAAAAGGAAGUUCUGAUUAUGGGCAUUUUUUUCUCAGUGGAUUAUAGACCUACUGGCAAAUAUUAGUGGACAAGGCCCUGUGUUACGCAGGAGACAAACUAAGUGGUGAUUAUUUCCAUAUAGCCUUCAGGUAUAUAAAUCUAACAUCAAGGGUGAAACCAGUGUUUAGAAGUCCUGAAGUGCCUAAGGUUGUUGCUGGAAGUUCUGCUGCCUUGUCAUUUCAGUCCUGUCCAAGCUAACCAAAACAAAAUUUGGUACCUGUCAAAAUUAAUGGGAUGUAAGACUCAGUGUGAGCUCUUCAGCAGGUCCACUUUCUCACCUAUGCCAUAACAAAAUAAUUAACGACUAAAUAUUUUCUCUUCUCUGGGUUUGAAACUCAUCAUCUGUCAAAUUAUUUUUGGUUGAGGGAGAGGAAGAUAUUUUGCUAAGAAAGUAAUAUAUUAGCACAGAGGUCAUUUAAAUAUAUACUUCUACGGAAGACUUCUAGAUCUUUUGCUUUGAAAUUGCAAGGACAUUGAUCCUAUAAAGGUCCAUUGUGUUUUAGUGAAUGAAUUUAAGACUGUGUUGUAAAUGACAUAUUUUAAAGCAGCAGCAUUGGUGUUAUAUGUAUUCUUUCAUAGAACAAAUGUACACAGCCAUAGGAUUCCCACUCACCUUCUUGUUCUAGUAGUGCAGUCUUUCCAUGGGAUGGAGUAUUGCUAUGACCACAUCUGAAUUGAUACUGUUAAUCUAGUUCUUGUUGCUAUAGAUAUUGCUGGGAGACAGAUAAAACAGGUCAGACAGCUGAGUUUUACAUCAUCAGCAUGUUUUUUGAAACCAAGCUUUUACGUGCCCUUCUUGUUUUUGUGUGCUUUUAGGAUAUUCAGGAUGGAAAAGAGAGAGGAUAAUCAUCGUUCAUUCAUAGUUCAUUUGGUCAAUAUGGUGCGCAUAGACAGCUCAGACCUACUGUUACUUUGGCAAGAGAAAGAGAUCUUACAAUGAGGAGAAUAAGCAUUUAUUCUUCGUACACUAAUAAGCCAAAUCUAUACUUAGGUCUCCAUUUUCCUAAAAUUCCACAUAAUUGUGAUUUUUCUCAGUGUUAAGCCUCUCAGUAGAUAAACAAUUACCUUGCUCUGAGGCAUGUAUCAUAAGUAAUGAUAGACAAAACAACUAAUGAUGAUUAUUAAUGAAUAAGUAUGAGGAUUUAAUGAUGUCUUAGGGCCAAAAUGCAAAGAACAUGAUUUUCAUUUAUACCAGAGUUACUUUUUACUCCCAAGGCAUAGGAAAAAAGCUUUUGAGAGUAAGUAAAGACUUACUAGGUAAUAAAACAGAAUGAUAGUGUAAGUGGGAUUACAGUCCAAUAUUUCUUUUAGCAGUGUUUAAACCAAAGUAAAAACAAGCCCUUUUCUUGGCCAUGAAACAGAACUGUCUUCAGGUUGCCAGUCCAAAGCCACAGAAAAGAUUUCAAAGAAGUCAGUUAAAUUAAUGGAGUGGGAAGGACUAUAUUCUCAAAGUAAUUCUAUGUCUGAUCUUCUGAAAAGAAGCAGAGCUAUUUUAGUUUUCCAACCGAGGUGGUAUUAAGUAAUAAUAUCUGGGAGCUGGGGGUUGUUUUAUACCUUUGAGAUAUAGCAGGAAAUCUGCAGGAUUAAAAAUUGCAAGAUAAAGUACUGCUUUAUUGUAUAUUGAGUACUGUGACCUGCUAAUGUGCAAGAUCGUCUCUGUCAGCAUAGAAAAGCCUCACUGUGAAUGCAUGGAAUUUUCUUACUGAAAACAGAAAAGCACAAAAUGGCUUUCUAAUGCUGCUUUAAUGUUACAGUGAGGUGAUGUUAGCUGCAGAAAUACCGCUCAGAUUUAACAAUACUGUUUGAAUAUUUCAGCUUUUUUGCUAGUAGGUGAAUCCUCCUUUAAGGCAGUAAUUUCUGAUCUUCUAGUCAAGGACGUUGUUCUUGUUAGCAGAGCUGUAAAUAGGCUCCUCUUAAAAUGUAGUAGAGAAAUGCCAUGGUGGUUGUUUAGAGCCAGUUCUGUGUAUAUACCUGCCUUUAUCUCCUUUGUUGCAUUACAUGCUUGGAUGACAAGCCAUAUAGGAAAGGAGAUUCUCUUCCUUUUAAAAUUAAGAAGCUUUUAAAAUUACAUAAAAGCUGUGUUGGUCCUUGAGAGUCUGUCAGACCUUUUUCGUGUCAGUAUGAAAGACCAUGAAAAACCAUUUCCCCUUGUCCUGCUGCAACAAACCCUGCUAAAGAGCCUGCCCCCUUCUUUCCUAUAGCCCCCCUUACAUACUGAAAAGCCACUCUAAGGUCUCCCGAGAACCUUCACUUCUCCAGGCUGAACAACCCCAAAUCUCUCAGCCUGUCCUCAUAGGGGAGGUGCUCCAGCCCUCUGAUUGAUCAUCUUUGAGUCUCUCUUCUGGAUGCACCCCAACAGGUCUGUGUCUCUCCUGUACUGAGAACGUUACAUCUGGAUACAGUACUCAAGGUAACUACCAUACUGAGCGCAGAGUAGAGGGGCAGGAUCACCUCCCUUGCCCUGCUGGCCACGUUUCUUUUGAUGCACCCCAGGAUAUGACUGGCUUUCUGGGCUGCAAGGGCUCAUGGCAGCUAAUGUCCAACUUGCCAUCUGCCAGUACUCCCAUGUUUUUUUCAGCAUGGCUAUGCUCUAUCUAACCUUACACCCCCCAGCUUGUACUGACUGUGGAGAUUGCCACGACCCACGUGCAAGACCUUCCACUUGGCACUGUUGAACCUCACAAGGUUCUCCUGGACUCACUGCUCAAGCCUAUCUAGGUCUCUGCAUCAAAUCUCAUCCCUCAGGUGUACUGACCACACCACACAGCUUGGUGUCAUUUGCAAAAUUGCUGAGGGUACACUGUUGACAUCACUGACGAAGAUGUUAAAAAAGACUUUUCUGUUCUGUUACUAAAAAUGACUUGAAGAAGACUAUUUGUAAACGCCGAUGUUCUACCACUGGUAUACUCAGUAUGUGUUAGUUGCAAAGUGACUGAAGAUAUUUUCUCCUUCUAUGCAUUAUGGAAUGAAGGCGUUUCUGUGUAUGCAUAAGUCAAGCACAAAUUAUGAAACAAAACAUCUGGAUGUACCAUUUUCAGAAUUAACAAGUAUUCAAGUAGUAGUUUCUAUUUCCAAAUAAUUAUAAAUUCUUUCUCUAUAUUUUUGAGUUUGUAGCUGGCAUGCUAGUGUUUUUAGCAACUGUUCCUUUCUGUCCUUUCUUACGCAUGGCGUUGCACAUCCAGGGCAGACCUCUAUAUUCCCACCCAUCCACCUUCUGCAUUUUGAGGUUAUUGCCAGGUUCAUACAAUCUGCUAACUUGUAUUAACAUUCUGUUUGCCUUGUUAUGACACAGUUUGUAGCACACUAGAGAGCACUAGCUUGCCCCAUCUCCUCUAGAGUAUCAGAAUAACAGGUGCAAUCAGGGAACAUACUGCAAUGCAGCUUGUUAGAAAGAUUUUGGACAAUUUUUCCUCAAGGAAAAAAAGAGAAGCAUGUCAGUGCUGAUCAUUUCCAUAGUUUUUGCUGCAUAAUUUUAGUGCUCACUAGGUAGUCAUCUGCAUACCAAGAUAUGAAGCCACAGGUCUAAAUUUAGAUUUGAUAUCUGAAUAAAGGUAUGGAGCUUUCUGUUUGUUUGUUUGCUUUUUCCCAUCAUAAUCUUCCUUUAAAGCUGAAAUUACAAUUACUUAUGUACAAUAUGUAAUUAAAUUUCUAGUUCAUACUAAAUUCAGAAGAAUUAGAAAUACCUUCAGGAUUUGCAUUAUUCAAGAACAAUACACCACAAUCUUUGAAACAUUGUGAGCUGAUGCUACAUUGGGUUAACAAAAACAAAACAAACAAACAAAUAACUUUUUAAAUAUUUUCAUAUAGAAUCACAGAAUCAUUGAGGUUGGAAAAGACUUCUAAAACGAUAUAGUCCAUCUGUCAGCACAUUCCCACCAUGCCCACUAACCAUGUCCCUCUGUGCUACAUCCACCACCUCCCUGGGAGACCUGUUAAAUAUGUAUGUGUAUAUAUUGUUAAAUAUAUGUAUGUAAAGCUAGAAGUGAUCUCAUGUAAUUUUGAACUAUCAUUCUUAGCAAAAACAAUUAGUAUUUCUAUAUCAAACAGACUAAGUUUUGAUGAAGAUCUAAUACUUCAAAAUCCUUGCUGCUCUUUCAGUUUUUCAUAAAAUUCAAAUACAUUUGCAAACCUCAAAUUAAAAAGGCCUUUGUUUUACAAGACACAAAUCCUCACUUAGGGUAAAACUGCUUUCUUUUUUUAUUUUGAUGUGGUGCACUGAGAGAGCAGGAAAUCUGCCGAGCCUUUGUCAGUUUCCCUAAAUCAGUAAGUCUCUCCUCUUCUGCAUGUAUGAAAAAUUGAUGUAUGAGGUAAUGACUGACUUUGCAAAAUGUCAGAAGAUGACUCAGAAUGGCAGAACUUGCUGAAAGAUGCCGUGAAAUUUAAGUUUAAAAUCUUAAAAUACGUACUCAUUGCAAAUAUGUUCAUAUAUAUGCAAGUAUUUGCUUCCUUUUCUGUGCUACUUAGAAAACUAAUUAAGGAAUCUGGUGUUUGGUAUCCAACCGUUAGCUUUCCAGCCUUUGUAUAAAUUCGUCAUGGGCAUAUUAUAUUUUUUAAACUAUUACCAGAAGCAUUAUUAACUUUUUUUUUUUCCUGAGAAUCCAUCUAACAUAACUGGUAGUGAUUUAUAGCUAAGUGUGGAGAAGCAGAAGGAGAUUAAGAGCUGUCUUUCAGUACCUAAGUAUGAAGACUACAGGAGGGAAUAAAAAAGCUCGGUAAUUUUCCAGCGAUUAAAAUAACAGUUCCGCUACCAGUUUUGUGGCUCCUUUUAGGGCAAUAUUCCCAUUGAAAUCAAUGAAUUAAAAUCAUAAAAAAUGUAUUUUUUUUUAAAGUAGCAUUACUCAGGGCAGAUUUCUAAAAUCAUUUAUUUGCUAUUAAAUUUGUCACCUGUUUUCUUCAGUUACUCAUAAAAAUCUGGGCUGUGGACUUAAUAAUUUUGACCUGGUUGAAUUCUGAAAUACUUGGUUAGGCAAUAGAGAACACUGUGAGAAGUAGUUUCAGGAGAAAAAAUACCCACCAUAUUUCAGAUGCUAUUUCAAACAAAGUUUUGAUGAAGAUCUAAUACUUGUUCAAACUGAUGUGGGAUUACACAAAACAUUAGGCAAGGUUGGUGCAGCAGGAGUGAAAGGGCAGUGGGAGAUGGAAAUGUCCAUAAAGGAAACAUUUUGCAUGACAAUAGUCAGUCUUUGCCUGCCAGCUGUGUCAUCAUUAUGGGACUGCAGAGCAGUACUGACAUCUCUGGGGAGAGGUUCCAGGAAGGAUGGGGAGGAUGAGGCAGAGGCUUCGUGGAGUUUGACAGGUAGAUGUGCGGGCAGAUCUUGUUACCUGGGACAGAAGUCUCCAGCACUGUCCAGUGUUGUGCUUUACACAUUUGUUAUUGCAUUUUGUCUUAUUAAAUAUUUAAUUUCAACAGCCAUACUAUUUUAAGCCUUCCUUUAGUCACACCAGUUUAAGGACAGCUGGGACUCUGCUUUUUUCCCCUAGCAUAUCUCUUUUCUCUGGUAUCAGCUGGAAGCAGAUGGUUUGUGCACAUAGAUCCUCAAGGGUGGCCUUUAUGACUACAUGUAGCCACCAGUAACUUUGUGUACAUCACUUUGGGGAAGUCCCUAUGAAUAGUCACAAUACACUGCUCAUUUGCACUGUCCAAACCAUGGCCCCCGCGUAUCUCCAAACCCCUGAACUGGCCUUUAUCAGAGGGGAUAAGGAGGUUUUUAUGGAGCCCAUCUAGCCAUGGUACAAAUGGGGAGAAAUCCAAUCACUUCAGCUAGAGUGGUCUCACGUGGGGCUGCAGCACCUCGCCUUAUUCCUGAAUGGCAGCAGGAAGAAGGUGCUGAGUCUCAGUGUUCAAAAAGAGCCAACAGCGAUUUUGGUGACUUAUAAGUCAAAAAACUUCCUGCUCUUUAAGAGCUGUAAAUGUAAAAAACAAGUUGGGUUUGGGUCAGUCGUAUAUUGCAAUAUCUGGAAGGAAGAAUAAACUCCAACCUAUUGUUUUUGAAAUCAUUAAGUAGUUGAAUGAGUGUUGAGAUUUGUGUAUCUACAAACUGGUGCAAUUCUGUUGUGACUGUAUUAACAAUAUAAUUUCAGAAUAACUAAAUGCAAUUACAUUUUUACAAGUGCAAAUAAGUCACAGCAUCUGCUUUCACUGUUAGUAACGCACAGUGUGCAUCCAUGCGUACAGUACAUCAGAGAGAGCAGUCAAAUGUUGACAUUAUGAUGAGAGCGCGGUGGAAACAGAUGGCUUGUUCACUUAAAUGUGUACUUGUGUCAACUUUAGUAAAAUAAAUAUUCCUGAUACACUUUAUAUGUUUGUAUGUGGAUGUGAGUGUGUGCUUAUGUAUAUGAUUGCCCUUAAAAUAUUUCCAGUGUUUUGAUUAGCAUCAAUUUUAUACCAGCACUGCAUAUAUAAAGUUUUGUUGCUAUUGUUGUUGUUUUUUAAGAAAAAAAUGAACACAGUGCACUUUCAGGGCAGCAUCUAUUUUAUUUGGACUAAAAUCUCAGGAUACAGUGCCAUUUUAUAUUCCUGUUUGAAAUGCUGCAGCUAGGAUAUAUAUCUAAGUCUAAGUCUACAUGAAUGUGCAUAUAACCUGUAUAUAUAAAUAUUUAACUUACAUGUGUAAGUUAAGUUAAUGUAGAUGAGAUAACUUCUUAUUGCUGUAUUUCUGAAAUGUGUUUCACACAUGUUUAUCCUGUGACACUGUCACUUCUACGUUUUACCACAAGGGCUCCUCCAUUCCACUGUCAGCUGGAUCCUGAAACUUGAACUUACGGCAGAUGCAGGGCAAAAUCUGGUGUUCUUCUGAUUUCCCUAUUUAUUGUGUAAUUUACUUCCUAUAUAUUCGUUCCAAAACCAGUAGUAGGCCAUCACUUCUCUGAGUGUCAGUCAAACCUGGUUUGACCAUCCUGCUUCUGAAGUAAAGAUCACGUCUGCCAGCUAGAUGUGUCUCAAAUCACACAUAAUUCUUUUGUCCUCUGAUGAAGGUGUCCUGGCCAGCAAUCUCAAUGUAUUUUAAUCUAUAUGAUUUAUCAAGUCAUCUAAAAUAGCAAAAUCAAAUUCUAAGUCUUCUGAAUCCUGGAAUGAAUCACCACCUGGGAUUUGUAUUUCCAUUGGCAAAUGAUAGCCAUGUAACAGUGAGCAUAUAAUCAUGCACAAUGUACAUGACACAGCAGGAGGUUUCAAAAAAAAAUUGCUCUUGUAAUCCCUUGGAAAUUUGAUGCAACUGUCCAGUAGAUAGCCUGCAAAGCCAGCAAACAAGCCUACUACUAAGCACAAUUAAACAACAGGCACUGGAAAUUAGUGCUGAAUCCCCAGGUGGAAAACAUGCAAUGGCCACAGGAAUGGAAAGAAACUAGGAGAACUCUUUCAAAUUGUUCAACAUAUGAAAAAUAGCAUUGUAAACAUGAAAACAUUUAUGGACAGUUGAUGAUUCCUGCACAAUAAAUUUUACAAGGAAAUGCCUACUAUCUAUUUUCCAGUUAGGCUCAUAGAGUAAGUUACCGCCAUGAACUCACAGAGGCCCUUAGUUGCGCUUUUAAGUUAAGUCCUAACUUUUGCAUAUUUGGACUGAAAAUAAUGUAGUUCAUCAUAAAUAAUUGAUAAGGCAUGAAUUUAACAUUUGCUUGAAACAAGAGUGCGAGAGAUUGAACAUAGGAAAAUGCAAGCUUGAAUUUUUCCUCUGCAGUUCAAACUCCAGGCUCCACACACCACCACCCAAAAUCCAAACCCUGUGUCUGAGAGUGCUGUCCAAACACCCUCAGAACUCCAGCACUGGGGCCAUACCCGCUGCCAUGGGGAGCCUGUUCUGUGUCCAUGAUGCUCUGCUGAAGACCUUUUUCCAUAAUGCUCCCCUGACCCUCCCCCAGCACAUCUCCAUCCCAUACCCUCUCAGGCUCUGAAGUGUUUUAACAUAUGGUACUGCUAGUGCCAGUUAGCAUUAUACACAAAGAUAAUGCAAUAUCAGCCAGAACAAAAACAGACUGAAGAUUGUGUCACCAUGAGGUAUGAACUUAAAAUAGCCUUGAAAACAGAAUUUUCUUCUGUUUGGGGCUUAUUUUUUGCUUUGAUCCUCUUUAUUUUUCAUAUUUUUCUCAGAAGAUGAAAUUUGAGAUUUGAAGUGGUAAUGAAAUAUUGCCCAGAGAUGAACAGAGUUACAGGAUGGUUAAGCCCUUGUUCCUGAAGACACACUUCUUUCAUCUAUUGCUCAAUACAGAAGUUCAAUAGCGUAUUUAGAUUUCCCUUUUCCUUUCUGCAUACAUGGAUUUUCACCUCCACUCUUCUGCUAACAUCCUGGAGAAAAGCAAAAGGCUGUGAAGGUGGUUGCUAGGAGCAAAUAUCAAGAAGGUUAAGGAAAAAAAUAACCUCACAUUACACUGCAACAUAAUUUCUCCUUGAUCUGAGGCAAUUAAGAAACACUUUGUGGAACCUGAAGAACACAAUCAGGUACGAGUGCAUACCAUGCUCCAGUGAGUUUAUGUGUCUCCAAAUGUUACAUCCAGUGAGAGGCAUUUGUCUAAGUGUAAUGGAUCACACGGUGUGUGAUUUAUAUCUAUCAAGUAUAAUUGCUAUCUUUAACAAAUACACACAGUUUUCCCAUUUUAUUAUUAUAUUGCGUAUGACUGGAACAUUCUGUUCUUGUACCUAUGCCCGUUUUUACCGCUUAGAUGUGGAAGUGUCUACCUGUGUAAAUAAUGAUAAUUGAUAAUAACAAACGAAAUAAUGAUUUGGUUGAAAUAGAGCAAAUAUGAAGACAGAAUAUAUGUGUAUUUUUGUUUUUAUUUUUAUUUACUCUAGCUUUAUUGUUGCCUCUGAUCUGGUUGGACUUCUUUGUAAGAAAUUGAAUAGAUUGUUCUUAGAGUUGUAAAGAAAAAUAUCGAACCAAAUUCAGCUAUGCACUAACUGAAUUGUCUUCAGUCUGUUUAUUUUAUUUUGGUGUAUUUUGUCCAAGUAAUGCACUUUAUAUUUAUGUGCUGGACAAAUAAGUUUCUGCAGGUAUCCUUAUCUGUGAUGAGCACCAUCAAGAAAAG